rnacentral:rRNA from 1 species
GACGAACGCUGGCGGCGUGCUUAACACAUGCAAGUCGAACGAAGUGGCGAACGGGUGAGUAAUACGUGGGUAACCUGCCCUCAUUUUUGGGAUAAGCCUUGGAAACGGGGUCUAAUACCGAAUAAAGGGGGCUGGGCUCGCGGCCUAUCAGCUUGUUGGUGGGGUGAUGGCCUACCAAGGCGGUGACGGGUAGCCGGCCUGAGAGGGUGACCCGCCACAUUGGGACUGAGAUACGGCCCAGACUCCUACGGGAGGCAGCAGUGGGGGAUAUUGCAAAAUGGGAGAAAGCCUGAUGGAGCAACGCCGCGUGAGUGAUGACGGCCUUCGGGUUGUAAAGCUCUGUUAAUCGGGACGCGGUACCUGAAUAGAAAGCCACGGCUAACUACGUGCCAGCCGCCGCGGUAAUAC